rnacentral:rRNA from 1 species
CUGGAGGAAUACCGAUGGCGAAGGCAGCCAUCUGGCCUAAUACUGACGCUGAGGUACGAAAGCAUGGGGAGCAAACAGGAUUAGAUACCCUGGUAGUCCAUGCCGUAAACGAUGUCUACUAGCCGUUGGGGCCUUUGAGGUUUUAGUGGCGCAGCUAACGCGAUAAGUAGACCGCCUGGGGAGUACGGUCGCAAGACUAAAACUCAAAUGAAUUGACGGGGGCCCGCACAAGCGGUGGAGCAUGUGGUUUAAUUCGAUGCAACGCGAAGAACCUUACCUGGCCUUGACAUACUAGAAACUUUCCAGAGAUGGAUUGGUGCCUUCGGGAAUCUAGAUACAGGUGCUGCAUGGCUGUCGUCAGCUCGUGUCGUGAGAUGUUGGGUUAAGUCCCGCAACGAGCGCAACCCUUUUCCUUACUUGCCAGCAUUUCGGAUGGGAACUUUAAGGAUACUGCCAGUGACAAACUGGAGGAAGGCGGGGACGACGUCAAGUCAUCAUGGCCCUUACGGCCAGGGCUACACACGUGCUACAAUGGUCGGUACAAAGGGUUGCUACACAGCGAUGUGAUGCUAAUCUCAAAAAGCCGAUCGUAGUCCGGAUUGGAGUCUGCAACUCGACUCCAUGGAGUCGGAAUCGCUAGUAAUCGCGGAUCAGAAUGCCGCGGUGAAUACGUUCCCGGGCCUUGUACACACCGCCCGUCACACCAUGGGAGUUUGUUGCACCAGAAGUAGGUAGUCUAACCGCAAGGAGGACGCUUACCACGGUGUGGCCGAUGACUGGGGUGAAGUCGUAACAAGGUAGCCGUAGA